GGAGAAAAGCAGGGGAUCGCAAGACCUUGCGCUCAUUGAGCGGCCGAUGCCUGAUUAGCUAGUUGGUGAGGUAAAGGCUUACCAAGGCGACGAUCAGUAGCUGGUCUGAGAGGACGACCAGCCACACUGGGACUGAGACACGGCCCAGACUCCUACGGGAGGCAGCAGUGGGGAAUUUUGGACAAUGGGGGAAACCCCGAUCCAGCCAUGCCGCGUGAGUGAAGAAGGCCUUCGGGUUGUAAAGCUCUUUCAGCCGGAACGAAACGGUCACGGCUAAUACCUGUGACUACUGACGGUACCGGAAGAAGAAGCACCGGCUAACUACGUGCCAGCAGCCGCGGUAGGACGUAGGGUGCGAGCGUUAAUCGGAAUUACUGGGCGUAAAGCGUGCGCAGGCGGUUUUGUAAGU
rnacentral:rRNA from 1 species